rnacentral:rRNA from 1 species
GUAAUGCGAAGGUAACCAACCCUGAAGUUGGGCAUAGCCGCGGGAAACUGCGGGUAAUUCCCAGCGACGUUGCGGGAUGGCAUCAUUUUGCAACCAAAGGUGUGAUUCCGCUUUAGGACGGGCCUUCGUGGUAUUAGGUAGUUGGUGAGGUAACGGCUCACCAAGCCUACGAUGCCUACCGGGUGUGAGAGCAUGACCCGGCACACUGGAACUGAGACACUGUCCAGACACCUACGGGUGGCUGCAGUCGAGAAUCUUCGGCAAUGGGCGAAAGCCUGACCGAGCGACGCCGCGUGAGGGAUUGAAGGCCUUCGGGUUGUAAACCUCUUUCGUAGAGGAGGAAGGGGCUGUGAAGAACAGUCCUUGACCUAUUCUAGGAAGAAGCUUGGGCUAAGUUCGUGCCAGCAGCCGCGGUAAGACGAACCAAGCGAACGUUAUUCGGAAUUACUGGGCUUAAAGCGCGUGUAGGCGGACUACCACGUUGGUUGUUGAAAUCCCCCGGCUUAACCGGGGAACUGGCACCAAUACGAGUAGUCUGGAGGUGGGUAGGGGAGACUGGAACUUCCGGUGGAGCGGUGAAAUGCGUUGAGAUCGGAAGGAACGCCCGCGGCGAAAGCGAGUCUCUGGACCCAUACUGACGCUGAGACG